rnacentral:pre_miRNA from 1 species
UUUCAAAUAAGCAAAGCAGUCAUAGGGCUUCUCUUUCUUGGCAGGCACUGGUGACUGAUGCAGCUACAAAUGUACAAUCACUUUCAUUGACCUGCCAAAGAAGAGUUGCCCUACGAUUGCUUUUGGCUUAAUGAAA